rnacentral:rRNA from 9 species
GUCAAGCAACUAAGCGCAUACGGUGGAUGCCUUGGCAGUCAGAGGCGAUGAAAGACGUGGAAGCCUGCGAUAAGGUUCGGGGAGCUGGCAAACAAGCUGUGAUCCGGGCAUUUCUGAAUGGGGAAACCCACCGACUUUCGGGUCGGUAUCUUACACUGAAUCCAUAGGUGUAAGAGGCGAACCGGGGGAACUGAAACAUCUAAGUACCCCGAGGAAAAGAAAUCAACCGAGAUUCCCUAAGUAGCGGCGAGCGAACGGGGACUAGCCCUUAAGCUAGACAACUGGUAGGAGAAGGCUCUGGAAAGUGCCGCCAUAGUGGGUGAUAGCCCCGUAUCCGAAACCUGAGUCUGGUGAAAUCGAGUAGGACGGGACACGUGAUAUCCUGUCUGAACAUGGGGGGACCAUCCUCCAAGGCUAAAUACUCCUGACUGACCGAUAGUGAACCAGUACCGUGAGGGAAAGGCGAAAAGAACCCCUGUGAGGGGAGUGAAAUAGAUCCUGAAACCGUAUGCGUACAAGCAGUCGGAGCGGACUUGUUCCGUGACGGCGUACCUUUUGUAUAAUGGGUCAGCGACUUAUGUUCAGUGGCGAGGUUAACCGUUUAGGGGAGCCGUAGGGAAACCGAGUCUGAAUAGGGCGAUUUAGUCGCUGGGCAUAGACCCGAAACCGGGCGAUCUAUCCAUGAGCAGGUUGAAGGGGCCGUAACAGGCACUGGAGGACC